AGCGUAGGCGGGUGCUUAAGUUGGAUGUUUAAAACCGGGGCCCAACCCCGGCGUGGCAUUCAAAACUGGGCAUCUUGAAUGGGACAGAGGCCAGUGGAAUUGGAGGUGUAGCGGUGGAAUGCGUAGAGAUCUCCAAGAACACCAGUUGCGAAGGCGGCUGGCUGGGUCCACAUUGACGCUGAGGCUCGAAAGCGUGGGGAGCAAACAGGAUUAGAUACCCUGGUAGUCCACGCCGUAAACGAUGAACACUAGGUUUUAAGCCCGUCAACGGUUUAGAGCCGCAGCUAACGCGUUAAGUGUUCCGCCUGGGGAGUACGCUCGCAAGGGUGAA
rnacentral:rRNA from 1 species